CCUACGGGAGGCAGCAGUGGGGAAUAUUGCACAAUGGGGGAAACCCUGAUGCAGCAACGCCGCGUGGGUGAAGGAGCGUUUCGGCGCGUAAAGCCCUGUCAGCGGGGAAGAAGAAAGACGGUACUCGACCAAGAAGCCCCGGCAAACUACGUGCCAGCAGCCGCGGUAAUACGUAGGGGGCGAGCGUUAUCCGGAUUUAUUGGGUUUAAAGGGGGCGCAGGCGGAAUGUAAAGUCAGCGGUAAAAUUUCGGGGCUCAACCCCGGCGUGCCGUUGAAACUGGCGUUCUUGAGUGAGCGAGAAGUAUGCGGAAUGCGUGGUGUAGCGGUGAAAUGCAUAGAUAUCACGCAGAACUCCGAUUGCGAAGGCAGCAUACCGGCGCCCGACUGACGCUGAGGCACGAAAGCGUGGGUAUCGAACAGGAUUAGAUACCCGUGUAGUC
rnacentral:rRNA from 1 species